rnacentral:lncRNA from 1 species
UCAUUUUGAAAUAAUGAUGCAUGCAUCCAAUACACUAGGUGUUCAUGGAGGUGCACGUGAGGGUGUGUAUGCUAACAUUCCUUUGUAAAUAAAAUCAUAGCUAUUGUUCACUUUAUCUCCAGGUCUCCCAUUCUUCAGUUCAAUGACCAGACCUAUAGUCCACCACUACAUUAGCAUCAUUCAAAUAUGAUAAUAUUGCAAGCAGUUUUCAUGAUCUUCAUGAAUUUAUCAGAACUACUAACUGAAUUAGCUGGCAUUUCACAUGAAGAACAGAGAGCUUAUUAGCUAUACAGCAUGCACAUAUAUAAAACUUUGAUGCGACUGAAUAGCCACACGACCAACUCAUGUGACUGAUAGUAACAACAGAACAGAUGUGAUAAAAGCAUAUAGAGUUAAUAAGGAACAUGGGUUGUCUAAAUGUACCUAUUGUCUGAAUCGUAUGCUGAAAAACAACCCUUUUUGGCGCAUCGUUGCUAUAUGGAAAGAAUUGUGAUGAUAAAGCCAACGCAAGAACACUUCCAUGCAGCAAAACUUGGAUAAUUGGUGGUUUUGCCAACCAUUUCCCAAUAACAGGUAUACAAGGGCCAAAACACCAGCCUGUCACUAAUCCAACUAUAGCGGCAACUAUUGCAUCAGGAACAAAAUAUCCUGAAAUAAUUGCUAAUAUGUGAGAGGAUUACAGAUACUUGUUUCAAAUCCUACUUGGGUUUUGGGAUUUUUCAGUCUUAAUUAUGCAAGGACUACAAUCACAAUGAUAUUGCAGAAGAUUAGAAAUGCAAAGGAUAUCUCAGUAGAUAUAGCAAUAUAAUGUUCCAUCAGUAAAUGCAACCAGCUCAAGGAUCCAAACAAGUGCAACAGAUUAGAAGAAUCUUGAUUUUGCAGUCUUCGAAGUACAAAAAAGCUGUAUACCAACCAUAAGGAGGUGGAUGAGAGCCUGCCAUGCCCAUUUUUUCGAUGACAAAGACAGCAAGAAAUCCACCAAAGUAUACAGAGUACAUCAGGCAAGGUACCAAAGGGAUCACAUAUGAUGCUGCAGACCUGACAGACAGAAACAUCUUGGUGAAAAUACAAGCCAACUAGUUAUAUACUGAUAUGGUUAAGUUGGCUGAAAUAAAGCUAUCCUGCAUAAGAAACUAGACCAUGAAACACCAAAAUGCUAGUACAUUAAGUACGCCAAAAAUACCAUGACAAAAGGAUUCUAGAAUUGAAGAAAGAGUUAUUUAAACUAGCACCUGAGAGAUUGUUGACCAAAUGUCUUUACCGAUAGACGAUAGGAGAUCCAAGCUGGAAGCAUAGAAACUGAUACAAAGAAUGUGAUGAAACCCCCACUCAACCCCGAUACAAGGCUUGCCGGUUUUCAGAAUUUAUGUGAACAAUUUAAGUCUUAGGAAACUAAUGCUGUUAGGAAAGUAAAAAGAUAUGCACCAUCGAUCCAACCAUAUACAAACUCCUAAACUGAGUAAGACAACGAAUAUUUUCACCUACCAAAGUCAAGAGGGUAUAGAACCCAAAUGCUCCCCAGAACCUUGCUUCAUCAUCCAAUUCCUGCCAAAAAAAAAAAAGAAAGAGAAUAGAACUUCUAUAGUUCAACAUCGAGAAGUUAACAAAAGUAACAUGAAUCUAUACAUUAAUUAAAUGAGUUAAAUUUAGUGGACGGUCUAUUGUUAGGCGAAAGUCAAAAUUUUCCUCAGUUAGACAAGUGUCAGAUUGAGAAGAUUAAGGACUUCUUUUAGGUAUUGGAACUCAUUAGUUGCCAAACUAGAAACUUGAAAGGAAGGUUGUUUCCGAUGGCUUUGGAUUAGUGUAGGUCAUAACCAGCAAGGAUACAACAUAUAAACAUCUUUAAAGUUUAUAGAACAGUAUACCAGAAGGAAAAACAUUUGUCCACCAAGAUGAAAAUAAGACUGUAACAGAAGCACACACCUCCCGUGAUAAUGAAAGAGCCAAAACAUCUUGAGAUAGAGGAAAUUGCUUCCAAAUAAUUCUUGGAACCAACAGACCAACAAUUGAGCAUGGCACAAACAUUAGAAACGCCAAAAAUGGAUUUGCAAACCUGUAUAAACCCAAAAAGAAAGGGUUAAAUUACCAUUCCUCACACAAUGAACUACAGAGGGUAUAGAGAAAGAAACAAAAUAAUUGUUUUUUUUCCUCAAUACUAAAUUCGAUCAAAUUGAAAAGAAAGAUUAGGUUAGCACAUUGUCUUAGUGAGAACCAUCAGAGAAAGCAAAGUUAAAAAGUAGACACACCAGUUCAUGGAAUGUCCNCCAUGAAAAAUAAUAGACAAUAAAAAUUUAUGCCUUUAAAUGUCUCUUUUCUUUUUCUACAUUUUACACAAAAGUGAAGUUCAUCAUUUUUUCUUCCUUAUUUUCACUUCAAAGAUUGAUAAUAUUCUCCCUCCAGAAUGUAUUGUUUUUUUAUUUAUUUUUAGAGGAAAAUUUCAUUCCCUCGAAUUGAACAUAAAGGCAUAUAUAUGAGCACAAGUAUUAUUCUGCAUUAUACAUUUUGAGACGUAUCAAAUUUUUAGGUAACACAUUUGAAUUUAGUUGAUUAUUCAAGGAAAUUAUUUCAAUUUUCAUGCUCCAAUCCUUAAGAUUUUGUCACAUUGACUGUGACAUAAAUACAUUGGUUAUUUACUUUGUCGAAAUAAGCUCGAUCUACUGGAAAACUAAAAUAAAAAGGAUACUUGACUGUAAACACUAAAUUUUUGUAUUUCAAUUUGAUAAAAUACAAAAUGCGUUACAAAGAUAAUUUGAUAGAUUUGAAGAUAGAUUUAUGCGGGUUGCAAUCUCUAGUUAAUCCUCUUAUUCUUCUCUUCCAUUUUGAUUCUUGGGGUGCAAGCUCGAAGGUUCUUGAAAUACUUGAUUUGAUGACGCCAAUCCAAGGGACUCAAAGCAUGAUUUUGGAUUGAACAUUGAACUUGAUUUGAUUUGAGAACAUUCUUAGAAUUUGUAAGAAUGCCUUGAAGCUUUUGAACUUGAUUUCUUUGGAUACUUGAAGAUCACUUCAAAGAUUCGCAGAAAUACUUGAAGAUUUGAAGAAAUGCUUGAAGAUUUUGAAGAUACUUUGACUAUUGCCUUGAAGAUCUUGAAGAUACUUGAAUACUUGAAGAUUUGAAGAUUACUUGAAGAUAACUUGAAUACUAAAACAAUUGAAGAUUUGAAGGAGACUUGAAUGCUAGAUAGAAUUCUUCAAGAUACUUGAAUACUUGGAAGAAUACUUGAAGAUACUUGAAUACUUGAAUGCUAGUAUUAGAGUUAAUAUGUUGUGUUUACAAUGGUUAGGACCUUAGAAACCAAUUUAUCUGUGGUAUACGAUUAAAUUUGAACCAUAGAAAUGAUAUAUCAAUACGUGUAAAGGACGAGAAUAUGAACACAACCUACAAAAUAAGUGGGAAAAAUCAUUGAUGAAACGAGGGCAAAAGAGAUCGAGUAAGAAGUCCAAGAAGAAAUAUGCUAUUUAGGAUCCAAAAUACAUAUCCAAGCACAUAAGAAAAUUUCGAUUAAUCUCCAAAAUCCAAACAUAGUUCAAAACAAAGUGGACCAAAAAACAACUUUCAAAACUUGAACUACAAUAUGAUCCAACAAAUAGCCAAUUGCUCAAGACUUCCUCGGUUUGCUCGUCGCCAACUGCGACUCGGGCUAUAAAGAAACAACAAACAACAAUCAUGGUCAGGGCUUAAUCAAAUGAAGUACAAUAUAAAUCAAUUAAUAGAGCUGGAUAUUAAAACUUCAAAACGUAUCAAUUUGUUACCUCCUUUUUCACAGGCUCUCCUUUUCUGACAAAUCAACUCAAUAUGGCAAGGUGACGACAUGUAGGCUGAGAAUAAGGUCGCAUUAGUUCAUCCACAAAGUUACAGUUAUGAAAAGAAAAGACUAUAAUGACAUGCAAACAUACGGUUAAUCCUUCCAUGAGCACGGUAUGUGCGACACCUUUGCUUCUGGGCCUGGUUAACCUGAAUGUGAGAAAUGAAUAGUGCAUCCACAUCCAAACCUUUCACAUGUCAAAAAACCAAUAAUUAGACAUGGAAAAGAAAAGGAAGACAUCAGGUAUAAUAACUAAAGAAACAGGAAACGUACCUCAGCAUUACUUUCGGCAUUCUUGAGCAAAUCCAAGAUGAACAUGGCAGAUUUCACUGGCCAGCGACCUUAUCCGUUAGAGUGUCUAUUCUUGGCGUGAGCAGUUCGCCCAACACCACCACAGAAACGAGUGAAAGGUAUGGCCUGUUUGUGGGCAAGCACAUCCUCCAAGUACCUCUUGGCCUUGCCCAAAGGCAACUUCCUGAUGGCGUGCGCUGUCUCCCUAGUGUUCUGAUAAAAUAAAAUUUUCAUACUUAGCUAAUUCAUCAUAAUCUCCGGAUAACAUCACGAAAUAUAGCAUUCAUUUAAAAUCAGAACAGAAUCAUUUAUUAGACAAUUAGGCAAGCAGAAGAGAAUCCAUAAAAGUUGUACACAAAUAUGAAACAUAACUGACAGCAAUACAUAACUCAACAUAAAUUGACUUCAAACAUCACAAAUGUAGCAUGUUUACUGAACCAUCAAAUCAUAGGAAAAACUCAAGUGGUUCACCCAAUAACAUUGCACGACUUCUAUCCCUGAAGUUUACGAGAGACCUAUCCACAAAUGGCAACAGAUCCCUGCUUUUUUACAUCAAGUUGAACAUAUGCCAGCUCAAAAAAGCUCACGGUAGACACUACUAUAUGUACAACAUCAAACGAAUAAGGUGACAGACACAGAAAAUGAAAGCAUUAUGGAUGUAGCAUUGUUUACUGAACCAUCAUUCAUCUGAAAACGCAAAGUGGUUCACCCAAUAACAUUGCACAACUAUUAUCCCUGACGUUUACAAGAGACCAAUUCACAAAUGGCAAUAGAUCCAUGCUUUUAUCAUCAAGUUGAACGUCUAAACUGCAGAAUAAAUUACAUUACAUAGAAAUAAUUAAUGAACCCUAAAACUAUACUAAAAUGGGCGUAACUGAUGAACAUUAAGAUUGAAUUAGCUAAAUUAAACUGAACAGAAGUCCAAACACAUCGAUUAAUUUAUUGUGUAAAAUAAAAAGGAAGAACAACCAAUUAAAAAAAGUGUUUAGCUUAGUUAAUCAUUAAAACAAGCUCGGUGGAAUAAAUAAAAAAGACGAAUUUACCUUGAAAUGAACUCUGAGAUCAGAUCCCCUAGCCUUGCAAGCUGCAACAAAUAUACAACCAAAACAAAAUCAGCAAACAACACAGAUAAAACGCCGAACGGAAUAAAUCAUCACAAACAACAUAAACCUACAUUAGUGAUGUUAUCGGGCUCUCUCGAGUAUUUCACCUGUAGAAUUUACAGCAUAAUUAAAUUAAAGAUCAAAUUCGCAAAUGCGUUUGGAUAAAUUUAUGUGACUGAGAGAAGAUGAAAGAUACCAUUGUUGCAGCUGUUCUUCUUCGGCGGUACUGCAGAAACUGCGGAAGUCGAUUGAUCUUCUUCGAAUGAGAAAGAGAAGAUAUGGUGCAGAAGAUUUUAUAGUAAAACCCUAAUACUCAAUGGCUUCAUGGGUUGGGCUUCAACUUUUUGGGUCUAAAUUGCGAGGUAGAAGGGCCGGCCCAUAAAUGAACAUAGUAGAUUAUUUAUGUUUUUGGUCUCAAUAAGAUAAUAAUGAGUUUAUUUUUCAAAUUUAAAUUUAAAUUAUACUUCAUUUAUUUAUUAAAUUUUAGAGGAAAUUAAAAUUUCAUUCCAAAAUGUAUUUUUUAUUUAUUUUUAGGGGAAAUUUUCAUUCCCUCGGAUUUGAAUUUAGUUGACUAUUCAAGGAAAUUAUUUCAUAUUUUCAUACUCCAUUGUCCUUAAGAUUUUGUCACAUUGACUGUGACAUAAAUACAUUGGUUAUUUACUUCGUCAAAAUAAGCUCGAUCUACUGGAAAACUAAAUAAAAAGAUACUUGACAUCGCUAAAUAAAGAUUAUGGGUUCUUUAUAAUAAGAUAUUAAUGUUUAAAAAAUAACCAUUGCUUAUAAUAUCAAUGGUAACGAUCAGUAUUAUACUUUUCAUCUAUAGUUGUAGUCAACACUUAAAACUUCAAAUUCUUUUGAUAAUUGUUUCCGUUGCUUACUAAAAAGAGUAGUAGUUAUAUAAUGCCCAAAAACUUUCACUACAUCAAAAGAAAGAAUUUCAACCAAAAUGUUUCUUCAAUCAAUCAAUUAUGAUCACUGGAAAAAUAGUUUCAAAUUUCAAUCAGUAUGUAAAUCCAUAUUAAAGAGACUAGCCAAGUAAAUUAUACACAAAGUGAGUAAGAAAAAAAUUAGGCGAAGAAGCAAGAGAUGCAUGGGAUUAGAAGGUAUAGGAAGACAAGAAACUUGUGAAGGCAGUGACAUCCAUCCAACUUGGAAAAAGGCCUUUCAAUUUCGUCGUUUGCUCGGUUAAAUGCAGGUCCACCACAGCAACAUCGAGCCUCAGACGUUCCGAUGUGUUGGCCUGCACAACGGAAGCAUGCCAGUUGCAUCAAGGUUUCAGAAACUAGAUUAAGAUUGUCUGAAGAUGCAAGGAAUCUCUUCAUCAGAAGCCAUGAUCAAUUGUGAGAUAGUUUGAUUACCUCCAACCAGAAUGUCCAAUUCUCGUGGCCUGUGCCGCUCAGUCUGCAAAUGUAUGAUGGUGGCCCGUUGCCAAUUCUAACGGUAGCUGUCAAAAGUUCGAACAGGUAUUAGCCUACGACAUAGAAAAUGACGUUGGGAUUGGGACAAAGGAAUUCAAAUCAACCUGGAACUAUGUUAUUUGCAAAUGACCAAUUUGAUAACGGUCCUGUAAUGUUGAGGACUGCAACCCACACCUCCUUCAAGGAACUGCAUGAGGGAGUCAAACGCAGUAUUUCAUCGUAUUAAGAAGAAUCCAGGAAGCAAGCCGUCCGACAAAGGACUCUAUCAAAUACAUAUCAGCGGAGAAUUUUAGAAAGCAUACCCUAACGAGAACUCCAAGUUGACUCUCCGAGAUCCCUCAGUCGAGAUGCUAGGGGAUAUGUGAGACGUCACAAGUGGAAAUUUUGAGUAUUCUUUCAAGAUUUCUUCAUUCGUUGUGGGAAACUUCAGGCUUCUUGAAAACAAAGCAUUAAUGGGAAAAAUUCCCUGUAAAAAAGAGAAUUUGGAUUCAUAAUCAGUGUCCAUUGUAAUCAUAAAUUUAGAGGUACUUUUGCUAAUCAAGCUCAUAUGGUGAGAAGCUAGCCAUAUUGGGACCAUAAGGUACUAUCAAGGCACUUGUUUUUUGCUAUUCAAUGUCAAUAAUAAGCAGUAUGAGGCUAAUGUUUAAUUUUGAUGCUGAAUGUGUAAAUUGCAUGGCUUGACCAAGUAUGGAUUGUAUCACAAACACUAGUAUUUGUUCCAAUGAGGUGUGAAAUCCAUGAUAGUAAUAACAGAAACUCUUUGUUGGCAAUACCAAACUCGACAACCGAAAGAUUCCUACAGGUAAGGACCUACUCCUGUCAUGGAAACUCAUGAAUUCAUUUUCUUAUUCAUGUGAUAUCUUCAUAAAAGAUCGUGACAAUUCACUAGGGUCAAACAGACGUAAAAAAAAAGAACUUAAGAAAUUACCGUCCAUCUCUGAGUAUCUGAUUGAGUGACCGUGUCAAAACUUAAUUCUUUAUCACCAUACAGUGCAUUUGCCGCGUCAGGUGCAUGAUGGAAAACAAACAUCAGGGAAUUGGAGUCAACUACGGCAAAAUCAAAACUAACUCCAGAUACUUGAUCUGCAUCUGUCGAAUGGAUGAGAAUAGUGCCACAAAUUGAUGUCAUAUUGGGUAGAACCGAGAGUUAUUGCAGAGAGCAGUCAAUAAUUAGCCACUUGAAAAUAAAGGUGAAUGCUAGCCUACACGCCCAUUGUGGGCACAUCCAUGACACCUAGAGCGUAUUCCUUUUGAAAUAAUGAUACAUGCAUCCAAUACACUAGGUGUUCAUGGAGGUGCACGUGAGGGUGUGUAUGCUACAUUCCUUUGUAAAUAAAUACAUAGCUAUUGUUCACUUUAUCUCCAGGUCUCCCAUUCUUCAGUUCAAUGACCAGACCUAUAGUCCACUACUACAUUAGCAUCAUUCAAAUAUGAUAAUAUUGCAAGCAGUUUUCAUGAUCUUCAUGAAUUUAUCAGAACUACUAACAAUUAGCUGGCAUUUCACAUGAAGAACAGA